AUAAAACAAAAAAUAGCAGUGUGUUUAACAUAGACAAUGGAAAGGUAUCAUAAAAGAAGUGACCCAAAUGAUUUAGAUAUUGACGAAGUUAGCAGUGACUCCGAAGAAAGCACGUGCCGGCCCAGCACCAGUAAAAGAAAAUAUACCCAAAGAACCAGAAAAAGCUGGUUUAAUGAUCCGAGUGGAUUGUCGAGCUAAAUGAUCAGGAGGUAAAGUGUAAAUACUGCCAUUGUACUUUAAAACCAAAACUAAGUACACUUCGUACUUAAGGAAAAACUUCUAAGCAUUUAGCAGCAGCAUCGAAUUUCACAAAAAACAAUAAAAAAAAAACACUCGAUUUUCACCCACUAAACAGCAAUUCCAAAGUAAA